UGCAUUCUUUGCCAUCUGAGCUACCAGGGAAGCCCUAUGGCCACCCACAAAUGGUGACCUGAAUCCAGAUGAGUUGGAGCUGAGACAGAGAAUAUACAGGAACAUGAGACAGCCCCGAGGAGGCUCCAGACCCACCCUGGGCCUCAUGGAAGGCUUCCUGGAGGAGGAGGUGUCUUCUUGGCUGAGGAAGUGGAAGGUGAGAGUGCUGCAGACAGAGGAGCGGCACUUAUGAGGGUCUGAGGUAAGAGCAGUGUGGGGUGUUGACAGGCUGUCAACGAAUCUGGCUGAGGUUGGGGAGGUGGGUGGGGCCAGAUCGUGCAGGGGCUGUGGGUCCUGGGAAUCUUGGGGAGUCCUGGGGAGCCCCAGGGAGUCGUCCAGCUGGGACGUGUCGUGACUGAGGAGGCUUUCCCUGCCCUGGCCAGGCAGGGCCCCUGCUCAGUCCCCACAGGGUGUCUGAGGCCCCCUGGGAGCUCCCGGACAGUUUGCUACCUCCCUGUUAUUCUAGAUGGAAGAAGGUUCUGGAAGGUGGGAUCUGGACUGAUUCAUUCCCUUCUGUGGCCUGGCACCUAGAUGGGUGCGGGCAGAGGCCCCGGUAAACAGGUCGACCCUGAUGGGGGCCCUCUCAGAGCUGAUCUGAAGGUCGUGAGGAGUCGGUGAGGAGCAGCAUGCAUGCAGCCGCCCCCGAACCCAUCUCCCCCCACUUCCUGGCCUGGCUGGGACCCAGCGCGGCGUCCCCCUCCUCUGCUCGGCCGAGGGCCUCCAAGAAAAGUGUGCACAUCCUACAGAGGCUUCUCACCAAGGGACAAACUCAUCGAGUCAGCAUCCAAAUGAAUGUUCCAGAAUGAAACAGAACAUCCCCAAAGCCCCCUAUAUGUCUCCUCCCAGUAAAUCUUCCCAUGGUUAACGAACCCCUGUGCAGAGUUCUAACCCUAGAGCUUAAUUUUACUGCUUCUGGACUUUAUAUAAAUGGAAUC